AUGAGCAGAGGGCCGGCGCGCACGCAGAGAGUGGAGCUGAAGGCGGACACCGGAGAGCAAGUUUUGGUGGCGCGCGCGCAACGGAUGGAGCGCGUUUGCGCCGCUGUUCAAUCGGAUUCCGGCCGACUCGACUGGAGUGAAACGCGCUUCCGAAAUCCGAAUUCGAUCGGGAGUGGUGCUCUGCUCGCGUCCGACUGGAGCACGGUCACCGCCUCGCCGGGAGAUAUAAGCUCCACGGGGGGCCUCGUGGGAGGCGAUCGCCUUCUUUCUUCCUUCCCAAUUUCUCCAUCCAAACGUCCCCACUUCUCCAUCCACUCCAAAACCGAUCACAGGAGCUCGCGGCCGCCACCCAUGGCCGGGCAGAUGCUCCGCCGGUGGAACAGCUUCUACGGCGCCUUCGACCCCGUGGACGCCGCCAUCGAGGCCGCCGACCCGGUCCAAUUCUCACGCCACGUGUUCCGGCGCGCGAGGGUCGACCUGGUGGGACGGCUCUGCAGCGCCGCCGACGACGACCAGGCGGAGCGCAUCUGCGGGAUUCUCGACGACAUCAUGGCCGAGUCUUUGGAGACGCUGAGGCUGGUCCCAUCAACGCCGGGGGCGCCCAUCUCCACGGAGCUCGCCGACUCUGUGCGCGCGCUGCGGGAGCACGACUCGGAGCGCGUCCGCCUCCUCGCGCGCGGCAUCGUGAGCGGGUGGGAGGCCUCCGUCCAGGACGACGGCGACGGUGCCAAGGUCGUCACACCAGCCAUGCCGAUGAAGAAGCUGCCGCAGCCCAAGGCGAGCGUCGGCCAGCAGCAGCAGCAGCAGCAGCGUGUCUCCGCCGACCCUGACGCGAAGACGAAGCGGCCUCCCAAGAUCGUCGGCGAGCCCUUGUCCAAGAAGACGGCUGAAAUCAUAAAAAAGGCGUCCGAUCCUGUCGACGGUGACCGUGCCGGGUUCUGCUCGGAGGACAAGAUGGAAGCCGCGAAGCGCAAGCUCCGCCAAGGUUACCAGGAGGCAGAGGACGCCAAACGGCGGCGCAGGACGCAGCUGGUGCAGGCGGCGCCCAAGAUGAUGCAGCCAAUCAGGAGGUGCAGCAGCUCCAUGGUGAAGAAAACCUUGUCGAUCAGGACGCAGCUUCACAUGGCUUAA
rnacentral:rRNA from 1 species